rnacentral:rRNA from 1 species
GAUGAACGCUGGCGGCGUGCUUAACACAUGCAAGUCGAACGGGAAACCUUUUAUUGAAGCUUCGGCAGAUUUAGCUGGUUUCUAGUGGCGGCCGGGUGAGUAACGCGUGGGUAACCUGCCUUAUACAGGGGGAUAACAGUCAGAAAUGGCUGCUAAUACCGCAUAAGCGCACAGAGCUGCAUGGCUCAGUGUGAAAAACUCCGGUGGUAUAAGAUGGACCCGCGUUGGAUUAGCUGGUUGGUGGGGUAACGGCCCACCAAGGCGACGAUCCAUAGCCGGCCUGAGAGGGUGAACGGCCACAUUGGGACUGAGACACGGCCCAGACUCCUACGGGAGGCAGCAGUGGGGAAUAUUGCACAAUGGGGGAAACCCUGAUGCAGCGACGCCGCGUGAAGGAAGAAGUAUCUCGGUAUGUAAACUUCUAUCAGCAGGGAAGAUAAUGACGGUACCUGACGAAGAAGCCCCGGCUAACUACGUG